GACGUAGGGUGCGAGCGUUGUCCGGAUUUAUUGGGCGUAAAGAGCUCGUAGGCGGCUAUUCAAGUCGAACGUGAAAUCUCGGAGCUCAACUCCGAAACUGCGUUCGAUACUGGGUAGCUAGAGUCUGGUAGGAGGAUCUGGAAUUCCUGGUGUAGCGGUGGAAUGCGCAGAUAUCAGGAGGAACACCGGUGGCGAAGGCGGGAUCCUGGGCCAGUACUGACGCUGAGGAGCGAAAGCGUGGGGAGCAAACAGG
rnacentral:rRNA from 1 species